rnacentral:rRNA from 1 species
UUCAGCUUGCUUCGCGGAGCUUGCGCAUUUCCUCGCAUGGCAGGUCAGCGUCAGUUUUGCGCGGCGUGAAAAGGCUCGGGUAAGGUAGCUCUCUUCGGGGAGUGUUAUAGACCUGGGCAAAUGCGCAGCGCGGGACUGAGGAUUGCAGCGGACACCUCUUCGGAGGCGCGGCGACCGAACCCUGCUCGGCCACCCUCGUUCGAUAGCGUGCUAACGGACGCGGGAGCGGCAGUGCACCGGAACAGGCAAGCCAGCGG